GGAUUGGGGUCAAAUUAACAAUGUACUGUUUCUCCAUGUUCAGUGCUCCUCAGUAAAUUUGCUGCUAAUGCCCUCUCUAGGUAUCAUAUUCAAAGUACUGUGCACCAUCUUUCUGACAACCACUAGUACCAAAUCGUUCUUCAGGCAUAUCGGCCCUUAUCUUGGUGGACAACUUUGACGAGUUGGAAGAUGGGGCUUUGAGCAACCUGGUCUAGUGGAAGGUGUCCCUGCUCAUGGCAGGGGGGUUGGAAUGAGUGACCUUUAAGGUCCCUUCCAAUGCAAACCAUUCUGUGAUUCUAUUCUGUGAUUCUUUGGCACUGUGACAUAGCACAGACAGCGCUGGAGAAAGAGGAUCAUGAAAGCAGCUCCUUGUGAAGCUCCACUUAGGAUGUGCUUGUGCCAAGAAUGGAAUGGCAAGCAGCGGCCAAAGAAUUUCAGAGUGACUAAUCUAUUUGCUGCCAGUAGAUCAGCAGUCAGAGCUGCUGUCAUGAAGAUUAGUGCCUCCAUUAAGAGGAUGUUGUGUUCAUUUAGAGGGAAAUAAAUGGACCACGGGAAUGAAGAUAGUAAUGAGGCAGAAGUUGUUUAACUUCAUCCAGGGCAGGUGUGGAAUAGCAGGAGGGAGCAGAUGUGGAGGAAUGCAGACUAGCUGUACAUAGUGAUGUGCACAGUUUGCCUGCUGUGCCUACGUGCAAGAGCAACGGAAGAACCAGAUCAAAUGGUGGUAAACAGAUUUGGUGGUAAACUUUCUCACCAGUUGGAAGUGUUGCCUCUGCAGAAUACAAAUAUUUCAAAUUAGUUAAAAGACUAC
rnacentral:lncRNA from 1 species